rnacentral:rRNA from 1 species
CAGCAGCCGCGGGAAUACGUAGGGUGCAAGCGUUAAUCGGAAUUACUGGGCGUAAAGCGUGCGCAGGCGGUUUGUUAAGACAGAUGUGAAAUCCCCGGGCUCAACCUGGGAACUGCAUUUGUGACUGGCAAGCUAGAGUGUGGCAGAGGGGGGUGGAAUUCCGCGUGUGGCAGUGAAACGCGUAGAUAUGCGGAGGAACACCGAUGGCGAAGGCAGCCCCCUGGGCCAAUACUGACGCUCAUGCACGAAAGCGUGGGGAGCAAACAGGAUUAGAUACCCCCGUAGUCCCUGUCUCUUAUAC